GGAUGAUCUAGUCUGCGAAGUAUUAUAAUUUCCCUAGCCAUAAAACGAACACUCUCUGGAUCCAUGUUGAUAAAUCGUACUUGCUUCAUUGCAACAAUCUUUCCAGUUUCCAGGUCUUUGGCUCGGAAUACACAGCUGUAUGUACCUUGGCCAAUCUGAUCCAACUUCUCAAAUGAAUCUACCUUCCGAGGAACCCAGCCUUUGAUAGCUUCACCUGCCACGUUUGUCAGCCAUGAUGGCCAUCCAGCAACAACUUGUGCACCAUCAACUCCAUUCCGAACACUGAAUAUUCUAUUUAUCUGAGGUUGUUCUCCAAUCUCGGUGGCAUUUGUUGCUGCCAAA
rnacentral:misc_RNA from 1 species